GACGAACCGUCCUAACGUUGUUCGGAAUCACUGGGCUUAAAGGGCGCGUAGGCGGGCACGCAAGUCCGGGGUGAAAUCUUUCGGCUUAACCGGAAAACAGCCUUGGAAACUGCGUGUCUGGAGGGAGGUAGGGGCAUGUGGAACUUCCGGUGGAGCGGUGAAAUGCGUUGAUAUCGGAAGGAACGCCGGUGGCGAAAGCGACGUGCUGGACCUCUUCUGACGCUGAGGCGCGAAAGCCAGGGGAGCAAACGGG
rnacentral:rRNA from 1 species